rnacentral:lncRNA from 1 species
AGUGCUUUGCAGAUGUUACUUAUGGUGGGAAGGUCUGGAAGGGGAGGGGAAGGUUCUAAAGGCUGAGGUCCCUGCUUUGCCCUUAGCAGAGAUAAAACUCCCAGGGAACCCUCUGGGGAUCAUAUGUCUCCCACCUCCAUCCCAAAGGGGACCACUCUGGGUGUGCAAAAGCCUCUAACACUGCCCUGAGCUCUUUGUACCCAGAUCUAUUGCUCACAAAUGGGGCUCCAUCUCCCAGCCCCCAAAUUCAUUCCUUUGCAUGAUGAUGAAUCAUGUUAAACAAAAUGAAUAUGCAAAUCUCCUCAGGGCGGGCCUUACAUCUAUGGGAAGCGGUGCCUAACAAAUGGAUUCUGAAUAAGAAGACAGCUCCAGCAACGCAGCUCUCCUGCUGUCUCUCCUCCCCUGCCCCUCGGACUCCUCCCACCCCUGUCCCUCUGUCCCAAGCCUGGAACCUCAAGAAGGUAUCUUCUGGGUAACUGAAGUGGAUAACCAACCGAUCAGGAAGUUCCAAGGGCCUUCCAAGCCCCUUCUGGAAUGAAGAAUGCGGAGACUCGAUUUCCACCUAGAAACAGAGUCCCACCCCUCCCUCCUUCUCCUCCUGGCCCCGGGGGUGCCCAGUGAAGGGCCCAACAGCUCCUAGGGCACCCUGACCUUCCCCCAGGAAGUGGGAGAGACCAGCGGUAGGAAUUGCAAAUGACGUUCAUUAAGCAGGAUGCUAAUACCAUGAAUUACAAAUGAAACCCAGAUGAAGAGGACCCUGGCAGCCUUACCUCUGUUAGAUAUUAAUUGGGCGACACUUUGUUUUAAUGGUACGUUAAUUAAUGCGGAAUUUCGACGGAAGUCCUCGUGACACUCACAUUAAUACAAACGAAUUCAUUACUGUCGGUGUUAUUACAAGAAAUGACAAAUAAAUCUGUAACAGUGGGACCCUUCAAA